CCUUGUUGGGUACCAAGGUAAGGAGAAGCUCUUGGACCUGCCAAUGUAAACUAUGACAUUUAGGAGGAAGAAAAAAUAUAAAAGUAUGAACUAAGAUAAUUUUUUCUUUAUUUGUGUUACUGCCUGACACAAGUUCAUUUUUUAGAAUGAUUAUAGACUUGUUUGUUUAUCAAAAUAUUCCGAAGAAUGUGUUGCUCUUAAAGUUGGUAUGUUCAAUAGUUAUUUAACCUCAUUGGCAUCAGCAAGCUUUAGGUGAAGUUUUUUCCAAAAAAGUAUAAGCCACAUAUUUUUAAAUUCUUUCCUGAUUGGUGCAGGUUGUCUUUAAGGGGAAAGGGAUUUUUACUUAAAUAUGUACACUUAUUUUGAAACCUUAAAAUACGGAUUUUUCAAUCUAAUUUGAAAGAACAAUCAUGUUUUUGUACAAGAGAACUAUAUGUCUAGAUGGUCAUGUCAUAAAACAGUGCUUGUUGAAAUAUCCAGCUUGUAGGGUGGGUCCUACACUCGUUCUGGAUGUGGUACCUAGAUGAUAGAAAGCCUUUCCUUUUAAAUAAUCAUAUUCCCCCUUCCAUCCUGUGCACUCCAAGCUGUAUAUGUAAGAGUAGAGAAAAAUAGCUCUGGUAUUCUGAGACUGGACUUCUUGUCUAAAUGGUUUUUCUUUUCUUUUCAGUGUGGACGUAAUCAACUCAUUCUUCAAAAAGUUCAAAGUUUCCUAGAAAAAGCAUUUAGUUUAACCCCCCAGCAAGCAGAAAUUGCUACAGAGCUUGGCUACCAAAUGAUUCUCCAAGGCAAAGUCAAGGAGGCCUGGAAGUGGUACAGGACCGCCAUGACACUGAACGAAAGCAACAUCUCUGCCGUCACCGGACUUAUCCGAUGUCAGUUAAUAGAAGGACAAUUGCAAGAUGCAGACCAGCAGUUGGAGUUCUUCAGUGAAUUCCAGCAGUCAAUGGGAAGAUCUGCGGAAUUAAUGUAUUUGCAUGCGGUUCUUGCUACCAAAAAAAAUAAUCGUCAGGAGGAAGUUAUAAAUUUGUUGAAUGAUGUUGUGAACACUCACUUUUCACACUUGGAAGACCUCCCUCUCGGCAUACAGUAUUUUGAGAAGCUCAACCCUGACUUCUUACUAGAAGUUGUUAACGAGUAUCUGAAUCUCUGUCCAAUUCAGGUAUGGGAUUCUAUUUCUUACCCCAACAGCCACAUCCGUGUGUCCCAUAGACGGUACUAAGAAGUUCUCUUGAACAUGCACAAGUGUAUCUGCAUCUGUAAUUAACGUUCAUAAUUCUGUUAACCGAAACCAUUUUAAAGCAGUCUUUAUAGAAAGGAUUACUACCAAAUUAUAGUAUUGAUUAGUAAAGAGUUAUUUUCAAUUUUUAAAUCCUAAAACUUUCAGUUGAGAAAUAUUCAAGGUGGUAAAUUUGAAUCUGACUGAUAACAGCAUCUAUUGUCAUUUCACCCUGGGCAAACUCAAAACUGGAGCUCUUUUGUAAAACUAAUGAAACCAUUUCCAGCAUGAACUCAAACUCUCCUUUGUGUUAAAAGUGGACUCUGACUCUUCUCCUGCUCCUUGGAAUGACAGAGUAUCUAGUUACUUAGUCCAAAGAAGAAUCGUUUCUCCUUCAUAAAGGAGAUGCUUAGAUUUGAUUAGAUACUUCUGGUGUGAGGAGUUCCCUAUGCUUUCUCUAUAUGCAUGCAUGGGAAAUCCAUUACCUUUAAAAACGUGUGUGUGUGUGUGUGUGUGUGUGUGUGUGUGUGUGUGUGUGUG
rnacentral:lncRNA from 1 species